rnacentral:rRNA from 1 species
UACGUAGGGUGCGAGCGUUGUCCGGAAUUACUGGGCGUAAAGAGCGCGCAGGCGGUCGUACAAGUCGCGUGUGAAAGCCCCCGGCUCAACUGGGGAGGGUCACGCGAUACUGAUCGACUCGAAGGCAGGAGAGGGUAGUGGAAUUCCCGGUGUAGUGGUGAAAUGCGUAGAUAUCUGGAGGAACACCGGUGGCGAAGGCGGCAUCCUGGACCAAUAUUGACGCUGAGGAGCGAAAGCCAGGGGAGCAAACGGG